rnacentral:rRNA from 1 species
UACGUAGGGGGCAAGCGUUGUCCGGAAUUACUGGGCGUAAAGGGCGCGUAGGCGGUGUGUCAAGUCAGGCGUGAAAGCCCCGGGCUCAACCUGGGAACCGCGCUUGAGACUGGCACGCUAGAGUUCGGGAGAGGAUGGUGGAAUUCCCAGUGUAGAGGUGAAAUUCGUAGAUAUUGGGAAGAACACCGAUGGCGAAGGCAGCCAUCUGGACCGACACUGACGCUGAGGCGCGAAAGCGUGGGGAGCAAACAGG